rnacentral:sRNA from 19 species
AUAAUACUUCGCGCAAGUGAAGUGUGUAGGUCUGUGGGGGAUUUCUGCACGGGUAAAAGCAGCA